CUUAAAUUAAAGGAACAUUAGGAACAAACACUGGUGGCAAGAUUUAUUUGCCUCAGAAUCACUUCACAAUCUCUGACAACUUAGCCUCCUUACUACUUCUAUUAUUCACCAGAGACACAGAUCUAGUUCAAAUCAGAAGCAAGUCCUUACAUUUUGAUGUAUUUGCCCAAAGACUAGCUAGAUUAGAUUUAGAAAGAACCUUGCCAAAGAAGGAAAAACAAUUUCUUAGCCUUUAAUCAAUUCUUCUUUAAACCCAGGAAAUACCAUACAACUUGUUUCCCAUAGCUAAUAAGUAACUUAACACUACUUUCUAAUUAUAAAGCCUAUUCUACCCACAGUAUGCAGAUCAGCUGCUAGCUAUGAGAAAAAUUACUACUAAAGGGAGUUUCUUGAGAAGAUUCCUCAAUCCCUACACUUUCCCCCAAACAAGAUAUGACAGAAUCACUUGAUGUGAGCCAGGGCAUUUACUAUUUUUUUUUUCAACCAGGGCCUGGCAGAACAGCUCCCGCAAAGAAGGGUGGCAAGAAGAUGGGCCAUUCUGCCAUCAACAAGGUAGUAACCAGAGAACACACCAUCAACAUUCAGAAACACAUCCAUAGAGUGGGUUUCAAGAAAUGUGCCCCUGAGGCACUCAAAGACAUCCGGAAAUUUUCCAUGAAGGAGAUGAGAACUCCAGAUGUGCGCACUGACACCAGACUCAACAACACUGUGAGGGCCAAAGGAAUAAGGAAGGUUCCACACCAUAUAUGUGUGCAGUUGUCCAGAAAAUGUAACAAGGAUGAAGAUUCACCAAACCAGCUCUAUACACUGGUUACCUAUGUACCUGUCACCACUUUCAAAAAUCUAGACAGUUAAUGUGGGUGAGAACUAACCAC